rnacentral:rRNA from 1 species
GACGAACGCUGGCGGCGUGCUUAACACAUGCAAGUCGAACGGAAAGGCCCUGCUUUUGUGGGGUGCUCGAGUGGCGAACGGGUGAGUAACACGUGAGUAACCUGCCCUUGACUUUGGGAUAACUUCAGGAAACUGGGGCUAAUACCGGAUAGGAGCUCCUGCUGCAUGGUGGGGGUUGGAAAGUUUCGGCGGUUGGGGAUGGACUCGCGGCUUAUCAGCUUGUUGGGGGGGUAGUGGCUUACCAAGGCUUUGACGGGUAGCCGGCCUGAGAGGGUGACCGGCCACAUUGGGACUGAGAUACGGCCCAGACUCCUACGGGAGGCAGCAGUGUGGAAUAUUGCACAAUGGGCGGAAGCCUGAUGCAGCAACGCCGCGUGCGGGAUGACGGCCUUCGGGUUGUAAACCGCUUUCGCCUGUGACGAAGCGUGAGUGACGGUAAUGGGUAAAGAAGCACCGGCUAACUACGUG